CUACGGGCCGCUGCAGUGGGGAAUUUUGGACAAUGGGCGAAAGCCUGAUCCAGCCAUUCCGCGUGAGUGAUGAAGGCCUUCGGGUUGUAAAGCUCUUUCGGCCGGGAAGAAAUCGUGCAGGCUAAUAUCCUGCAUGGAUGACGGUACCGGAUCAAGAAGCACCGGCUAACUACGUGCCAGCAGCCGCGGUAAUACGUAGGGUGCGAGCGUUAAUCGGAAUUACUGGGCGUAAAGCGUGCGCAGGCGGAUGUUUAAGCCAGAUGUGAAAUCCCCGGGCUUAACCUAGGAAUGGCAUUUGGAACUGGACAUCUAGAGUGUGUCAGAGGGGGGUGGAAUUCCACGUGUAGCAGUGAAAUGCGUAGAGAUGUGGAGGAACACCGAUGGCGAAGGCAGCCCCCUGGGUAACACUGACGCUCAUGCACGAAAGCGUGGGGAGCAAACAGGAUUAGAUACCCGCGUAGUC
rnacentral:rRNA from 1 species